AUUUUUUGUCUUUAGUUGCUUCAUUCAUCAAUACAUACAAAAGAAAAACAUGAUAAUGUUAGUUUUUUAUUACAUUACGCACAUCGAUUUGGAUCACAGAUCAAGUGAGAUUAGAAUAACUACCUCUUGAAGCCAUAAUCACAAACAAAAUUGGUUUUAUAAUCUCACAGCAAGCACAAUUGCACAAGUCAAAAUCCAAAUCUUCAUUUUCUUCUCUUCUAUCAUGCCAGGCAGUUUUUUAAUGGCAAAACUGAUUUGAUACAUUGUUG
rnacentral:lncRNA from 1 species